rnacentral:rRNA from 1 species
UACGGAGGGGGCAAGCGUUAUUCGGAAUCAUUGGGCGUAAAGGGCGCGUAGGCGGCCUGGCAAGUCAAAGGUGAAAUCCCUCGGCCCAACCGAGGAACUGCCUUUGAAACUGCAAGGCUUGAGGCCGGGAGAGGGUAGCGGAAUUCCCAGUGUAGCGGUGAAAUGCGUAGAUAUCUGGAGGAAUACCGGUGGCGAAGGCGGCAUCCUGGACCGGCAUUGACGCUGAGGAGCGAAAGCCAGGGGAGCAAACGGG